GAUGAAGAACGUAGCGAAAUGCGAUAAGUAAUGUGAAUUGCAGAAUUCAGUGAAUCAUCGAAUCUUUGAACGCACAUUGCGCCCGCCAGUAUUCUGGCGGGCAUGCCUGUUCGAGCGUCAUUUCAACCAUCAAGCCCCCGGCUUGUGUUGGGGACCUGCGGCUGCCGCAGGCCCUGAAAACCAGUGGCGGGCUCGCUAGUCACUCCGAGCGUAGUAGCACAUCUCGCUCAGAGCGUGCGGCGGGUUCUUGCCGUAAAACACCCCCUUUUUACCAAGGUUGACCUCGGAUCAGGUAGGAAUACCCGCUGAACUUAAGCAUAUCAAUAAGCGGAGGA
rnacentral:misc_RNA from 1 species